rnacentral:tRNA from 1 species
GCGCCCUUAGCUCAGUUGGAUAGAGCGUCUGGCUACGAACCAGAAGGUCGCCUGUUCGAAUCAGGCAGGGCGCG